GUUAAGCGACUAAGCGUACACGGUGGAUGCCCUGGCAGUCAGAGGCGAUGAAGGACGUGCUAAUCUGCGAUAAGCGUCGGUGAGGUGAUAUGAACCGUUAUAACCGGCGAUUUCCGAAUGGGGAAACCCAGUGUGUUUCGACACACUAUCAUUAACUGAAUCCAUAGGUUAAUGAGGCGAACCGGGGGAACUGAAACAUCUAAGUACCCCGAGGAAAAGAAAUCAACCGAGAUUCCCCCAGUAGCGGCGAGCGAACGGGGAGGAGCCCAGAGCCUGAAUCAGUGUGUGUGUUAGUGGAAGCGUCUGGAAAGGCGUGCGAUACAGGGUGACAGCCCCGUACACAAAAAUGCACAUAUUGUGAGCUCGAUGAGUAGGGCGGGACACGUGGUAUCCUGUCUGAAUAUGGGGGGACCAUCCUCCAAGGCUAAAUACUCCUGACUGACCGAUAGUGAACCAGUACCGUGAGGGAAAGGCGAAAAGAACCCCGGCGAGGGGAGUGAAAAAGAACCUGAAACCGUGUACGUACAAGCAGUGGGAGCCUCUUAAUGGGGUGACUGCGUACCUUUUGUAUAAUGGGUCAGCGACUUAUAUUCUGUAGCAAGGUUAACCGAAUAGGGGAGCCGAAGGGAAACCGAGUCUUAACUGGGCGUUAAGUUGCAGGGUAUAGACCCGAAACCCGGUGAUCUAGCCAUGGGCAGGUUGAAGGUUGGGUAACACUAACUGGAGGACCGAACCGACUAAUGUUGAAAAAUUAGCGGAUGACUUGUGGCUGGGGGUGAAAGGCCAAUCAAACCGGGAGAUAGCUGGUUCUCCCCGAAAGCUAUUUAGGUAGCGCCUCGUGAAUUCAUCUCCGGGGGUAGAGCACUGUUUCGGCAAGGGGGUCAUCCCGACUUACCAACCCGAUGCAAACUGCGAAUACCGGAGAAUGUUAUCACGGGAGACACACGGCGGGUGCUAACGUCCGUCGUGAAGAGGGAAACAACCCAGACCGCCAGCUAAGGUCCCAAAGUCAUGGUUAAGUGGGAAACGAUGUGGGAAGGCCCAGACAGCCAGGAUGUUGGCUUAGAAGCAGCCAUCAUUUAAAGAAAGCGUAAUAGCUCACUGGUCGAGUCGGCCUGCGCGGAAGAUGUAACGGGGCUAAACCAUGCACCGAAGCUGCGGCAGCGACACUAUGUGUUGUUGGGUAGGGGAGCGUUCUGUAAGCCUGUGAAGGUGGCCUGUGAGGGUUGCUGGAGGUAUCAGAAGUGCGAAUGCUGACAUAAGUAACGAUAAAGCGGGUGAAAAGCCCGCUCGCCGGAAGACCAAGGGUUCCUGUCCAACGUUAAUCGGGGCAGGGUGAGUCGACCCCUAAGGCGAGGCCGAAAGGCGUAGUCGAUGGGAAACAGGUUAAUAUUCCUGUACUUGGUGUUACUGCGAAGGGGGGACGGAGAAGGCUAUGUUGGCCGGGCGACGGUUGUCCCGGUUUAAGCGUGUAGGCUGGUUUUCCAGGCAAAUCCGGAAAACCAAGGCUGAGGCGUGAUGACGAGGCACUACGGUGCUGAAGCGACAAAUGCCCUGCUUCCAGGAAAAGCCUCUAAGCAUCAGGUAACAUCAAAUCGUACCCCAAACCGACACAGGUGGUCAGGUAGAGAAUACCAAGGCGCUUGAGAGAACUCGGGUGAAGGAACUAGGCAAAAUGGUGCCGUAACUUCGGGAGAAGGCACGCUGAUAUGUAGGUGAAGCGACUUGCUCGUGGAGCUGAAAUCAGUCGAAGAUACCAGCUGGCUGCAACUGUUUAUUAAAAACACAGCACUGUGCAAACACGAAAGUGGACGUAUACGGUGUGACGCCUGCCCGGUGCCGGAAGGUUAAUUGAUGGGGUUAGCGGCAACGCGAAGCUCUUGAUCGAAGCCCCGGUAAACGGCGGCCGUAACUAUAACGGUCCUAAGGUAGCGAAAUUCCUUGUCGGGUAAGUUCCGACCUGCACGAAUGGCGUAAUGAUGGCCAGGCUGUCUCCACCCGAGACUCAGUGAAAUUGAACUCGCUGUGAAGAUGCAGUGUACCCGCGGCAAGACGGAAAGACCCCGUGAACCUUUACUAUAGCUUGACACUGAACAUUGAGCCUUGAUGUGUAGGAUAGGUGGGAGGCUUUGAAGUGUGGACGCCAGUCUGCAUGGAGCCGACCUUGAAAUACCACCCUUUAAUGUUUGAUGUUCUAACGUUGGCCCGUAAUCCGGGUUGCGGACAGUGUCUGGUGGGUAGUUUGACUGGGGCGGUCUCCUCCUAAAGAGUAACGGAGGAGCACGAAGGUUGGCUAAUCCUGGUCGGACAUCAGGAGGUUAGUGCAAUGGCAUAAGCCAGCUUGACUGCGAGCGUGACGGCGCGAGCAGGUGCGAAAGCAGGUCAUAGUGAUCCGGUGGUUCUGAAUGGAAGGGCCAUCGCUCAACGGAUAAAAGGUACUCCGGGGAUAACAGGCUGAUACCGCCCAAGAGUUCAUAUCGACGGCGGUGUUUGGCACCUCGAUGUCGGCUCAUCACAUCCUGGGGCUGAAGUAGGUCCCAAGGGUAUGGCUGUUCGCCAUUUAAAGUGGUACGCGAGCUGGGUUUAGAACGUCGUGAGACAGUUCGGUCCCUAUCUGCCGUGGGCGCUGGAGAACUGAGGGGGGCUGCUCCUAGUACGAGAGGACCGGAGUGGACGCAUCACUGGUGUUCGGGUUGUCAUGCCAAUGGCACUGCCCGGUAGCUAAAUGCGGAAGAGAUAAGUGCUGAAAGCAUCUAAGCACGAAACUUGCCCCGAGAUGAGUUCUCCCUGAGACUUAGAGUCUCCUGAAGGAACGUUGAAGACGACGACGUUGAUAGGCCGGGUGUGUAAGCGCAGCGAUGCGUUGAGCUAACCGGUACUAAUGAACCGUGAGGCUUAACCUUACAACGCCGAAG
rnacentral:rRNA from 1 species